GGGCUGAGACUCAGUGGUAGAGUGCUCCUCUCAUAUGUGUGAGGCCUUGGGUUCAAUCCUCAGCACCACA
rnacentral:tRNA from 1 species